GCGGGCGUAGCUCAGUCGGUUAGAGUGCCGGCCUGUCACGCCGGAGGUCGCGGGUUCGAGCCCCGUCGCCCGCG
rfam:Microvirga aerilata strain BSC39 scf7180000028476, whole genome shotgun sequence.